GACGAACGCUGGCGGCGUGCCUAAUACAUGCCAGUAGAACGCUGAAGGAGGAGCUUGCUUCUCUGGAUGAGUUGCGAACGGGUGAGUAACGCGUAGGUAACCUGCCUGGUAGCGGGGGAUAACUAUUGGAAACGAUAGCUAAUACCGCAUAAUAGCAGUUAUUGCAUGAUAACUGUUUGAAAGGUGCAAUUGCACCACUACCAGAUGGACCUGCGUUGUAUUAGCUAGUUGGUGGGGUAACGGCUCACCAAGGCGACGAUACAUAGCCGACCUGAGAGGGUGAUCGGCCACACUGGGACUGAGACACGGCCCAGACUCCUACGGGAGGCAGCAGUAGGGAACCUUCGGCAAUGGACGGAAGUCUGACCGAGCAACGCCGCGUGAGUGAAGAAGGUUUUCGGAUCGUAAAGCUCUGUUGUAAGAGAAGAACGAGUGUGAGAGUGGAAAGUUCACACUGUGACGGUAUCUUACCAGAAAGGGACGGCUAACUACGUG
rnacentral:rRNA from 1 species